UACAGAGGGUGCGAGCGUUAAUCGGAAUUACUGGGCGUAAAGCGCACGUAGGCGGCUUGGUAUGUCGGGUGUGAAAUCCCCGGGCUCAACCUGGGAACUGCAUCCGAAACUGCCUUGCUCGAGUAUGGGAGAGGGAAGUGGAAUUUCCGGUGUAGCGGUGAAAUGCGUAGAUAUCGGAAGGAACAUCAGUGGCGAAGGCGGCUAUCUGGACGGUUACUGACGCUAAGACUCGAAAGCGUGGGGAUCAAACAGG
rnacentral:rRNA from 1 species